AGAACUGGGGGUAAGAGCCCCUCUGCCUAGCACUGCUCCCCCAAGGCUCCCAGAAAUCUCAGGUCAGAGGCACGGACAGCCUCUGGAGCUCUCGUCUGGUGGGACCAUGAACUGCCAGCAGCUGUGGCUGGGCUUCCUACUCCCCAUGACAGUCUCAGGCCGGGUCCUGGGGCUUGCAGAGGUGGCGCCUGUGGACUACCUGUCACAAUAUGGGUACCUACAGAAGCCUCUAGAAGGAUCUAAUAACUUCAAGCCAGAAGAUAUCACCGAGGCUCUGAGAGCUUUUCAGGAAGCAUCUGAACUUCCAGUCUCAGGUCAGCUGGAUGAUGCCACAAGGGCCCGCAUGAGGCAGCCUCGUUGUGGCCUAGAGGAUCCCUUCAACCAGAAGACCCUUAAAUACCUGUUGCUGGGCCGCUGGAGAAAGAAGCACCUGACUUUCCGCAUCUUGAACCUGCCCUCCACCCUUCCACCCCACACAGCCCGGGCAGCCCUGCGUCAAGCCUUCCAGGACUGGAGCAAUGUGGCUCCCUUGACCUUCCAAGAGGUGCAGGCUGGUGCGGCUGACAUCCGCCUCUCCUUCCAUGGCCGCCAAAGCUCGUACUGUUCCAAUACUUUUGAUGGGCCUGGGAGAGUCCUGGCCCAUGCCGACAUCCCAGAGCUGGGCAGUGUGCACUUCGACGAAGACGAGUUCUGGACUGAGGGGACCUACCGUGGGGUGAACCUGCGCAUCAUUGCAGCCCAUGAAGUGGGCCAUGCUCUGGGGCUUGGGCACUCCCGAUAUUCCCAGGCCCUCAUGGCCCCAGUCUACGAGGGCUACCGGCCCCACUUUAAGCUGCACCCAGAUGAUGUGGCAGGGAUCCAGGCUCUCUAUGGCAAGAAGAGUCCAGUGAUAAGGGAUGAGGAAGAAGAAGAGACAGAGCUGCCCACUGUGCCCCCAGUGCCCACAGAACCCAGUCCCAUGCCAGACCCUUGCAGUAGUGAACUGGAUGCCAUGAUGCUGGGUGAGGCCCCUCCCCUCCAGGCUGUUGGCAGGCGGUGGGGGCAGCCUGCUGAUCCUGAGGCCUGGACAAAUGGGAGUGACAUGGGACUUCAGCAUGAGCAAUGGAGGGCCCCGUGGGAAGACCUAUGCUUUCAAGGGGGACUAUGUGUGGACUGUAUCAGAUUCAGGACCGGGCCCCUUGUUCCGAGUGUCUGCCCUUUGGGAGGGGCUCCCCGGAAACCUGGAUGCUGCUGUCUACUCGCCUCGAACACAAUGGAUUCACUUCUUUAAGGGAGACAAGGUGUGGCGCUACAUUAAUUUCAAGAUGUCUCCUGGCUUCCCCAAGAAGCUGAAUAGGGUAGAACCUAACCUGGAUGCAGCUCUCUAUUGGCCUCUCAACCAAAAGGUGUUCCUCUUUAAGGGCUCCGGGUACUGGCAGUGGGACGAGCUAGCCCGAACUGACUUCAGCAGCUACCCCAAACCAAUCAAGGGUUUGUUUACGGGAGUGCCAAACCAGCCCUCGGCUGCUAUGAGUUGGCAAGAUGGCCGAGUCUACUUCUUCAAGGGCAAAGUCUACUGGCGCCUCAACCAGCAGCUUCGAGUAGAGAAAGGCUAUCCCAGAAAUAUUUCCCACAACUGGAUGCACUGUCGUCCCCGGACUAUAGACACUACCCCAUCAGGUGGGAAUACCACUCCCUCAGGUACGGGCAUAACCUUGGAUACCACUCUCUCAGCCACAGAAACCACGUUUGAAUACUGACUGCUCACCCACAGACACAAUCUUGGACAUUAACCCCUGAGGCUCCACCACCCACCCUUUCAUUUCCCCCCCAGAAGCCUAAGGCCUAAUAGCUGAAUGAAAUACCUGUCUGCUCAGUAGAACCUUGCAGGUGCUGUAGCAGGCGCAAGACCGUAGAUCUCAGGCCUCUAACACUUCCAACUCCAGCCACCACUUUCCUGUGCAUUUUCACUCCUGAGAAGUGCUCCCCUAACUCAGAUCCCCUAACUUAGAUUUGGCCCCCAACUCCAUUUCCUGUCUGUCUUAGACAGCCCUUCCAACUGUGUCAUCUCUUCUCUGGAGGUCAAUGGUGGAGGGAGAUGCCUGGGUCCUGUUCUUCCUACAUAAAAUGCAAGAAAACAGCAUGGCCAGUAAACUGAGCAAGGGCCUUGGAAUCCUUGAGAAUCACAUUUAUGUGCUUAUGAUUACGGGCAAGCUAAUUAACCUUGUUGAAUCUCAGAUUCCCCAUUUGCAACAUUAGGUUAAGACCAGUACUGCAGGAUUGUUGCACUAAAUGAAAUACUGUAUGUGAAGUGCCUGGCACAGUGUCUGGUACAUUUGUGUUUAAUAAAAGCUAACUCCAUGUUCAUAAGAGAGGACUGAACAGCUCUUCCUCUAGCUGUCUGGCUGUAUAACUCUUACAGUAGUCUGUAUAAUAAGGGCAUCUCUAUUAGAUCUUUAGGGGACAGAGGAUUUGUCAAGAUGGUUAGCUCUUUGUUUUGGGGUGCAGAGAAAGAAAAGAGCAGCAACAGCAGAGGCUGGACUCCCUGGUUCAGUAUUUAAUGCCAUUUUAUUCACAUGCUCCCAUGUUCUCCCUCCCUCCCAUUGUAGCCUUGCUGCCCAGGGGAGGGAUAUGUCUUCCUUUAUGCAUCUGGGAAACCAGGAACAGACCCUGCGCAGGAGAGUCAGAGGGGGAAGAGUUAGAAUGGGUCAGUGGCUGGAACAAAGUUCUGGUUAAGGAGGAAAUUAGUGCCACCCACGGUGAGAAGCAGAGAAGGCACUUGCAUCCUAUGCAGCCCUGAAGACCAGGCUCCUUUGGGCAAAAGGCAAGACUCUGGCAGGUGGGUCAAUGCUCUCUCCUUGGAGCAAGAAGCCAGCUUUUGGGGAAGGCAGGUCCUGAGGCAGGCACUGCCCUGUGGUCUUCCCCAGGUUGAGGAGAGAAGUGGAAGCCCCAUGGAAGACAGUGCUCCCAGCUGAGGUAGGAGGCGGAGGUGGGGGUGGGGGUAGUUUAAGCCUAUGGGGCCCAGGGGGAAAGGCCAAACAGAAACCCAACUACCCCCUAAUGAAGGGCCUGGAGGUUGGGGUAUCUUGGAGCUCCUCAGAGCCCUUCUUCCCAUCAAAAAGGUAUCAAAUGCCUUGGAAGCUCCCUGAUCCUACAAAACAAAAAAAUGCUUAUUUUUACCACUGUGAGGCAAGCUGAGGUGAACAUUUAAAAGGCUAUUUCAAGACGAGGUGCGGUGGCUAUAAUCCUAGCACUUUGGGAGGCUGAAGCAGGAGGAUCACUUGAGCCCAGGAGUUCAAGACCAGCUUGGGCAACAUAGGGAGACCCUGUCUCUGCAAAAAAAUAAAAACGAAUACAUAAAAA